UUGUUAAUUUAACUAAUGUAGAAUGACACAUGUCAUUUUCUUCUGUGAUGAUGUGUCACUCAUAUGGAGAGUGUUGGCCAACUUUCAUAUAUAUAAUUUAUUUUAUUUUCAUUUUCAUUUUCGUUUAUUUUUUUCUGCUAAUUUCAGUUUUGAAUGCGAUUGGGGACAUUGUUGUUUAAUUUUGAGGGAGGCGGUUACUAAUAAUGUUUUUUUUUGAGUUUUAAA
rnacentral:sRNA from 1 species